UGGCAAUAACAAACUUUUAAAUGCGAUGGAACCUCAACAUACAGCGAUGGCUGGCCACAAACCUGUGUGCAGAACACAGAGCAAAGACAGUCCUCCUAAAAUGAGUGAUCUGAAGGUUGUUCUGCUAGGGAAGAGCGUGUCAGAAAACAGUGGUGUUGGAAACUUCCUGUUAGGACGAGCAGCGUUUGACAGUGAAGCUCCUCCAGGUGUUGUAGAGCGAG